rnacentral:tRNA from 1 species
AAAGGAAUAUUCAAUGUUAAAACAUUGAGGUUUAGUUUCGAUAAUAUAGGUUCGAUUCCUAUUUCCUUUU